rnacentral:siRNA from 1 species
UCAGAACGACCUGCUACAGCGGA